CCUACGGUGAGCAGCAGUGAGGAAUAUUGGUCAAUGGUCGGGAGACUGAACCAGCCAAGCCGCGUGAGGGAGGAAGGUACAGAGUAUCGUAAACCUCUUUUGUCAGGGAACAAAGACUGGGACGCGUCCCCGGAUGAGUGUACCUGAAGAAAAAGCAUCGGCUAACUCCGUGCCAGCAGCCGCGGUAAUACGGAGGAUGCGAGCGUUAUCCGGAUUUAUUGGGUUUAAAGGGAGCGUAGGCCGCAUGUCAAGCGUGCUGUGAAAUGUCCGGGCUCAACCCGGGCCUUGCAGCGCGAACUGGCGUGCGGGAGUCCGCGUAAAGCAGGCGGAAUUCGUCGUGUAGCGGUGAAAUGCUUAGAUAUGACGAAGAACCCCGAUUGCGAAGGCAGCUUGCUGCAGCGGAACUGACGCUGAUGCUCGAAAGCGUGGGUAUCGAACAGGAUUAGAUACCCGAGUAGUC
rnacentral:rRNA from 1 species